UACAGAGGUCUCGAGCGUUGUCCGGAUUCAUUGGGCGUAAAGGGCGCGUAGGCGGCGGGGUAAGUCUGGUGUGAAAUCUCGGAGCUCAACUCCGAAAUUGCACUGGAUACUGCUCUGCUAGAGGGCUGGAGAGGAGAUCGGAAUUCACGGUGUAGCAGUGAAAUGCGUAGAUAUCGUGAGGAAGACCAGUGGCGAAGGCGGAUCUCUGGACAGCUCCUGACGCUGAGGCGCGAAGGCUAGGGGAGCAAACGGG
rnacentral:rRNA from 1 species